rnacentral:rRNA from 1 species
GAUGAACGCUGGCGGCGUGCUUAACACAUGCAAGUCGAACGGAAAGGCGCCUGCUUGCAGGGUUACUCGAGUGGCGAACGGGUGAGUAACUCGAGGGUGAUCUGCCCUGCACUUCGGGAUAAGCCUGGGAAACUGGGUCUAAUACCGGAAAGGACGAGGGCGUGGAUGCCAUGCUGGAAAGAUUUAUCGGUGUGGGAUGAGCUCGCUGCCUAUCAGCUGGUUGGUGGGGUAAUGGCCUACCAGGGCGUCGACGGGAAGCGGGCCGGAGGGGGUGUACGGCGGCAUUGGGGGGAAGGUAAGGCCCAGCCUACUACGGGAGGCAGCAGUGGUGAGUAAUAUUGAAUGGGGGGAAGCAUGAUGCAGCGGCGCCGCGGUGGGGAUGAAGGCGGUUGUGUUGUAGACACCUUUCGCCAGGGAGGAAGCAGAAGGGACGGGUCCUGGAAAAGAAGGACCGGCUAACUACGUG